UGGGGAAUAUUGGACAAUGGGCGCAAGCCUGAUCCAGCCAUACCGCGUGGGUGAAGAAGGCCUUCGGGUUGUAAAGCCCUUUUGUUGGGAAAGAAAAGCAGUCGGUUAAUACCCGAUUGUUCUGACGGUACCCAAAGAAUAAGCACCGGCUAACUUCGUGCCAGCAGCCGCGGUAAU
rnacentral:rRNA from 1 species